GGUUGGUUAGCUCAGCCGGUUAGAGCGUGGUGCUAAUGAUGCCAAGGGCAUGGGUUCAAUCCCCACACUAACCA